UGCUAUGAUGUCGUAAUUUGCGUCUUACUCCAUGCUCUGCGACAGUUGCCUGCUGUCAUAAUGCAAGUGUGGAUGACUGACGAAAAACCUAAAUUCUGAGCG